rnacentral:lncRNA from 1 species
CCGGCUCACUGUAGACCAGUCAUUCUGAAAGAGCCCAUGAAAAACACCAAGUUCUCUCCUGCCUCAGGACUUUGUACCUGCUGCUUCAGUGCCUGGAAUACUGACUCCUUCCCAUGAAAAACACCAAGUUCUCUCCUGCCUCAGGACUUUGUACCUGCUGCUUCAGUGCCUGGAAUACUGACUCCUUCCCAUGAAAAACACCAAGUUCUCUCCUGCCUCAGGACUUUGUGCCUGCUGCUUCAGUGCCUGGAAUACUCAUUCCUUCCAUUGUUUGCACAAGCACCGCCAGGGGGUGGGGCUCACAGAGGCGCACUGCGGCAGGAACUGGAUGUGGGUGUCAAGGUGGUCACAGAACAGACGGCUGGGUCAGCUCCCCAAGGAGAAGCCCUGAGCUGCCCAACAGGUCCCUCUUAGGCCCCACACUUCAGAGGCAGGGCUGCCACGCAUGCCUCCUGGAUCACCUCUUGGUGUCCCAUGGCCCCUGUGGGGCUCCUACCUGGCACAUCCUCACCUCCAGGCUCCCCCGGCUCCAACUCAGCAGGGAGGUGGGAGGUUGACGGGAGCAGGCAGGCAUGGGAGGGCUCAGCCGGGGUAUGAGGGGUGGGCAGAGUCCCCCCACCUGGCUCACCCUUUCUCUUCCUCUCCUCCUCUGGGCACCUUCUUUGACUCCCACAGGCUCCUAGCUCAGACCUCUCCACUCUUCCUGGCUUUCCUUCAGGGAGGUCAGGAAAGUCAGGGACCCGUGGAUAAAGACCAGGAGAACACAAUGAGCAGAAAAGCGUAGGCGAGCAGCUGGCAGCCACCAUCGCAUUUGCUCCCGGAAGGCAAGAGGAGGCAGAGAAAAUUCCAGAACCCAUUUAAGCGUCUGGGACCCUGAGAGACGGGAUUUCACC